rnacentral:rRNA from 1 species
AAUCAACGCUGGCGGCGUGCCUAACACAUGCAAGUCGAACGCGAAAGUCCCGCAAGGGAUAAGUAGAGUGGCAAACGGGUGAGUAACACGUGGGUGACCUGCCUUCGAGUGGGGGAUAACGUCCCGAAAGGGACGCUAAUACCGCAUAACAUCCUGCUUUUGAACAGGUGGAGAUCAAAGCUGGGGACCCGCAAGGGCCUGGCGCUGGAAGAGGGGCCCGCGUCUGAUUAGCAGUUGGUGGGGUAACGGCUCACCAAGGCAACGAUCAGUAUCCGGCCUGAGAGGGCGGACGGACACACUGGGACUGAGACACGGCCCAGACUCCUACGGGAGGCAGCAGUGGGGAAUUGUUCGCAAUGGGCGCAAGCCUGACGACGCAACGCCGCGUGGAGGA